UACGGGGGGGGCAAGCGUUGUUCGGAAUUACUGGGCGUAAAGGGCGCGUAGGCGGCCUGCUAAGUCGGAUGUGAAAACUCUGGGCUCAACCCAGAGCCUGCAUUCGAUACUGACGGGCUAGAGUACUGGAGGGGAAAGCGGAAUUCCUGGUGUAGCGGUGAAAUGCGUAGAUAUCAGGAGGAACACCGAUGGCGAAGGCAGGUCUCUGGGCCACUACUGACGCUGAGAAGCGAAAGCAUGGGGAGCGAACAGG
rnacentral:rRNA from 1 species